GUCGAACGAUGAAGCCAGCUUGCUGGUGGAUUAGUGGCGAACGGGUGAGUAACACGUGAGUAACCUGCCCUUAACUCUGGGAUAAGCCUGGGAAACUGGGUCUAAUACCGGAUAUGACUCCUCAUCGCAUGGUGGGGGGUGGAAAGCUUUAUUGUGGUUUUGGAUGGACUCGCGGCCUAUCAGCUUGUUGGUGAGGUAAUGGCUUACCAAGGCGACGACGGGUAGCCGGCCUGAGAGGGUGACCGGCCACACUGGGACUGAGACACGGCCCAGACUCCUACGGGAGGCAGCAGUGGGGAAUAUUGCACAAUGGGCGCAAGCCUGAUGCAGCGACGCCGCGUGAGGGAUGACGGCCUUCGGGUUGUAAACCUCUUUCAGUAGGGAAGAAGCGAAAGUGACGGUACCUGCAGAAGAAGCGCCGGCUAACUACGUGCCAGCAGCCGCGGUAAUACGUAGGGCGCAAGCGUUAUCCGGAAUUAUUGGGCGUAAAGAGCUCGUAGGCGGUUUGUCGCGUCUGCCGUGAAAGUCCGGGGCUCAACUCCGGAUCUGCGGUGGGUACGGGCAGACUAGAGUGAUGUAG
rnacentral:rRNA from 1 species